AUUGAACGCUGGCGGCAGGCCUAACACAUGCAAGUCGAACGGUAACAGGAAGAUGCUUGCUUCUUUGCUGACGAGUGGCGGACGGGUGAGUAAUGUCUGGGAAACUGCCUGAUGGAGGGGGAUAACUACUGGAAACGGUAGCUAAUACCGCAUAACGUCGCAAGACCAAAGAGGGGGACCUUCGGGCCUCUUGCCAUCGGAUGUGCCCAGAUGGGAUUAGCUAGUAGGUGGGGUAACGGCUCACCUAGGCGACGAUCCCUAGCUGGUCUGAGAGGAUGACCAGCCACACUGGAACUGAGACACGGUCCAGACUCCUACGGGAGGCAGCAGUGGGGAAUAUUGCACAAUGGGCGCAAGCCUGAUGCAGCCAUGCCGCGUGUAUGAAGAAGGCCUUCGGGUUGUAAAGUACUUUCAGCGGGGAGGAAGGGAGUAAAGUUAAUACCUUUACUCAUUGACGUUACCCGCAGAAGAAGCACCGGCUAACUCCGUG
rnacentral:rRNA from 1 species